rnacentral:rRNA from 1 species
AGUGAACGCUGGCGGUAGGCCUAACACAUGCAAGUCGAACGGCAGCACAGUAAGAGCUUGCUCUUACGGGUGGCGAGUGGCGGACGGGUGAGGAAUACAUCGGAAUCUACUUUUUCGUGGGGGAUAACGUAGGGAAACUUACGCUAAUACCGCAUACGACCUACGGGUGAAAGCAGGGGAUCUUCGGACCUUGCGCGAUUGAAUGAGCCGAUGUCGGAUUAGCUAGUUGGCGGGGUAAAGGCCCACCAAGGCGACGAUCCGUAGCUGGUCUGAGAGGAUGAUCAGCCACACUGGAACUGAGACACGGUCCAGACUCCCACGGGAGGCAGCAGUGGGGAAUAUUGGACAAUGGGCGCAAGCCUGAUCCAGCCAUACCGCGUGGGUGAAGAAGGCCUUCGGGUUGUAAAGCCCUUUUGUUGGGAAAGAAAAGCGGCAGGUUAAUACCCCGCUGUUCCGACGGUACCCAAAGAAUAAGCACCGGCUAACUUCGUG